rnacentral:misc_RNA from 1 species
CUCUCUCUCUUUCUCUCUCUAUAUUCAGUCCCCAAUCUCACUUUCUCUCUCUAAAAUUCUCAGAAUUCUUCACCGCGUCAACGAUUCCUCCAUCGAUCCGUCCCCUCCUCCUUCCGUUAACAGAUUUUCGAAUUAGAAGCAGUAGCAAUGUCUCCAGCAUCUAGGUCCAAGUCAAAGGACAAAAAGGGUGGCAAGGAACCACCCAAAGCUGCUUCAAAGCCUUCAAGUGUAAAUGCAGGUGCUACUACACCGACUAGUGGAUACAAUCCUCUUUUAGGAACAUUCCAUACAAUUGAGACAGCUCCUGUGACUUCAAAUGCUGCUCUUCAUGUGAACGGUCGUUUCAGAAAUAUUGACGAGACAGAUGACCCUAGUGGCCACUCACUUGGACCUAGCAGCGAGUAUGAUUCUGUUUCCCUUAAUGGUAGUUGGUCUGGUGAGUCAGAGGACCAUAAAGAGAAAAUGUCUAAUCCCCCUCCCCGGGCAGAGACAGUAGUACCUGGCUCUGAUAACGACAAAAGGGAAAAAAUCCGUCAGAAAAAUGAGAAGAAGCAUCAACGUCAAAAGGAGAGACGAGCUCAAGAAUUGCAUGAAAAAUGCAGUGGUUAUCUCAUGUCAAGAAAGCUGGAAGCACUUGCCCAACAGCUUGUGGCUAUGGGAUUCUCUUCAGAACGAGCUACAAUGGCUCUUAUCUUAAAUGAAGGCAGAGUAGAAGAAUCAGUCUCAUGGUUAUUUGAAGGUGGUGAAGAAGCAGAUAAACUCAAGGAACAUAAUCUUGAUGGUGGGGGUAAUUUGAAAAUUGACAUUUCAGAAGAGCUUGCUCGCAUUACAGACAUGGAAAAUAAGUACAAGUGUUCCAAGCAGGAGGUUGAAAGAGCCUUAGUUGCCUGCGAGGGUGAUCUUGAGAAGGCUGAAGAGACUUUGAGGUCACAAAAACAGGAAGCACAUUCUGCGUCAUCUAAGCCUGAAGAAAGUGGUGAUCCUCCUACCUUGGGCAAUGGUAAGCUUCCAACUGCCACCACUCAGAACUUACUAAGAGCACCUGUAAAACCUUCACCCAACAUGAUAUUGCCUAAAAGGGAUGAUAGAGACUUCAAUUAUACUAAAGUUGCAGCCACAUCAGGAUCUUCUGCAGAGAAUGGAAGCAAAAGUAUACAAUCACUUAAAAGGGUUCAGCCAAAAUUGGAGUGGGCCAAGCCACCACAAAUGGCAGCGCCUGCUGAGAAAAGGUGGCAAAAUGCAGGAUCAAAUCCUUCUGUUUCCUAUUCUUUGGCAUCUCCGUUGCAGGCAUCAACCUUAUCCUCCAAGACGGAAGCUCGUUACAUUACUGUAGGAAAUGAAUUGAAGAAUCUACAGCUAGGAACCGUGAGAGAACCAGUUAUGGUUAUGCAGCGACCCAAUCAAUCAUUUAAUCCUAAGCAGAUUCCCACCUCAACUGUAAGCUCUUCUCCGCCAGGAAGUACAGCAGGAUGGGUUCCUUACACUGUUGAGACUGUGAAAGCCAAUGGACUGAUGCCACAUAUUCCUGGCACAAGAAGCCUGAGCCCAAAUGGUGUCAGCACAAACCAGUUGUACAGCCAACUUCAGUAUCAACAACACCAGCAGCCGCAACAAUUUGUUUCUAGCAGUGGCCCAGUUGAAUUGCCAGGAACAAGCCGGGGUAAUAAUUUGUGGAGUAGAACAGGUGCUUUGCAGACACAAACCCUUUCUGCAGCUUCCUCACUUGGACUCUUCUCUGGGUUGGGCACCAGUGGUCUGUCUGGGUCAUCGUCUCCGGUUGACUGGAACAGUGGUGGCGGGUCAAUGGAACAGCUAGAUUACACUAACAUAGACUGGAGUUUAGAUCGCGGGUCUUCAUUCCUGGCCACAUCCCACCUGCUCUUGAAGAUGAAGACCCGCGAUCU